UUGACAAUGAUUAAAGAGUGCGAUGACAAUUACAAUUGUAAACUACUUUGCUUGAUUUUCUUUUGGUUUUAACCAUGAAAUCCAUGUACUAAUUGAAUUGUUGCUGCCAUGGAGCGGAGAGUAAGAAAGACCUUCUUUUUAGCUUAUCUGAAAAGCAUUAAUACUGUCCCUUUUGAUGACCCUUAUUUUCUGUAGGAGAUGACCUCAUGCAUGGACCUAGUGAAAGUUUACCUAUUUACGUUAAUUCAAUGCUCCUGGCAUAUGAAUGUUAAAAUUUUUAUAACACUUAGAUUGUUAUUUUUUUAUUGGAAUCAGCUUCGCGUAAAGAUGGAGAUUGGACCUGUCCUAAUUGUGGGAACUUAAUCUUUUCUUUUAGAACUGUUUGCAACCAGGGACACUGUGGUGCCCCAAGACCAUCCCUAACUCUAACUCCAGUAAGUGCAAGCUUGUUUUGGAUUGUCAUUUCAUAUCUUGGUGAAUGAAUAAUUUUAUUUGAAAAGGUAUGCAAUGGACAAACUCCUGAACUGGAUGUGUACAAAUAGAUGACCUAUCGUUCCAAAACAAUAGAAGAGAAAAAACUUUCAAGGAAACCACAGUGGACUCUAUUUCAUAUCUGAGGCAAUACCUCAAAGAGAAGGGCAGCUUUGGAGACCUUACCCUCGGGAUUGCAUUGGCAUGCACCAAUGGUCCCCCUGACACAUCAUGUCACUCUGCAACAACCAUGCAGUCUGUUUAUCCUCGCCACUUGGAGAUUCCAACUUUUAUUAACCCAAGGUCUAUGGAGAAGGAGGCUAAAGCUGCUCAGUUGACUAUCUUCUAUGAUGGGCAAGUUGUUGUGUUUGAUGAUUUUCCUGCUGAUAAAGUGCAGGAGACGAAGAUGGCUACUGCAGCAGGUGCAGUUGCCCUUUUGUACUACACAUUGAAUCGGAAAUUGCAGACUCACGAUGUAAUUGAUGAAGAUGGUGAAGAAAAUGGGAGUGAUUCGCCAGCUGAUACGCCAUUAGGUAUUGGCUGUGUUUCUCAUCGGUUAAUCCAAGCCCCUGCAACAUGGUUGGAGACAAUUUCUACAUUGUCAGAAACUCUCAGGUUCACUUAUUCGGAGACACUUGGGAAGUGGCCAAUUAGGGAUUUGGCGUUUGGUAUCAACUUUCUUCUAAAGCGGCAGGGAAACUAUCAUGUGGGCAGUGAAUUUUGUGGUAAGGACAGUGUACAGCUGAAAGGAUCUGAAAUUACUGCUGAACUUAAGUAUCUCUUAAACUUGUUGACAUUGUGUUGGCACUUUUCAAAGAAGCCCUUUCCCUUGUUUUUAGAAGAAACUGGCUACACUGAAGAAAACGUUCUCCUUCGAGAAGCAAAAGCAGGAAUUUUGAAACCAACUUUUACAAUAAUAGCUUAUCACAAGAUGGGAUGCCUUUUGUUAUUGAUUCGUGGCACGCAUAAUAUCAAGGAUACUUUAACAACUGUUACUGGAAAUGUGGUACCAUUUCAUCACAUUGUUGUUAAUCUGGGGGGUGUCAGUGAUUUGGUUUUAGGUUAUGCACAUUGUGGAAUGGUUGCUGCUGCUCGAUGGAUUGCAAAGCUCGCAACUCCUUGUCUCCUUGAAGCACUUGGCCACUACCCUGACUAUAAAGUUAAGGGCACUCUUUGGGUGGAGGAACUGCCGCAAUUCUAACUUAUGUGUUGAGAGAGAGAAAGGAACUGCCCGUAACCACGUGCAUUACAUUUGCUCCAGCUGCUUGUAUGACAUAGGAGUUGGCAGAGUCAGGUGAUAGUUUUAUUACUUCUAUUAUAAAUGGAGCUGAUUUGGUGCCUACAUUCUCAGUUGCUUCUGUAGAUGACUUGUGUUCUGAGGUUGUGAUCCUUCGCAUUGCGUAUUGGAAAAUGUUAUUGUAGUCUUGAUUUAUUGACCAUUAUUGAUUAUAUUUAUGGGAGAUUCACUGGGGGAGAGUGUAAUUUAAGUAAUUAGGACUUGCAAUCAAGGUAGAGGACAUCAUUUGGUGGAUUUAAGACUUAUUUAUGGUCAUGAACUAUUUUAGGUUCUCCAAACUGUAUUAAAGGAAUUGUGGGAUGUUUUAGAAAGCAAUCUUAUAAAUGUCCCUACUCUCACAUGGUUAUAGAGAUUCAACAUUACUCUCGCAUGAAGUUAAAUUCCUUCACAGAAAUUCACAAUGUUCCUGAUUUUGGUUUGCUUACCUUAUUGGGACUUGGAUAAACCAAUAAACUUGCUACAAUGCCAUUUGCAAGAUGAAUAUGUUUGCAGUUCAUAAAUUUCAUUUU